rnacentral:rRNA from 1 species
UAGCCACGGGAACACGAAGGGGGCUAGCGUUGCUCGGAAUGACUGGGCGUAAAGGGCGCGUAGGCGGUUCGUACAGUUGGAUGUGAAAUUCCUGGGCUUAACCUGGGGGCUGCAUUCAAUACGUGCGGGCUUGAGUGUAGAAGAGGGUUGUGGAAUUCCCAGUGUAGAGGUGAAAUUCGUAGAUAUUGGGAAGAACACCGGUGGCGAAGGCGGCAACCUGGUCCAUAACCGACGCUGAGGCGCGAAAGCGUGGGGAGCAAACAGGAUUAGAUACCCCCGUAGUCCCUGUCUCUUAUACACA